UCAUAUGCACAAGGAGUCAACUGUGGCGGCGACGUGCGUUGAGCUCCACUCGAUCCAUCGUCACCAACCCCAUCGCAGUCAGUCAGACUCUCAGCCGAGCUGCCCAGCUGAGAUCGACGAGAGGCGGCGAGGAGCACGAUGGGCACGGAGGCGGGGGAGCUGCCGAGGAUCGACUUCUCCGGCGUGGACACGUCGGCGCCGGGGACAGGGCGGUGGGACGCGGUGCGCGCGGAGGUGAUGGACGCGCUGGCCACCUUCGGCUGCUUCGACGCGCACUACCCGGCGCUCGCCCCGGCGCAGCGCGCCGCGCUCUUCGACGGCGCCGUCCGCCCGCUCUUCGCGCUGCCCGCCGACGCCAAGCGCCGCAACCACUACGGGCCCAGCAAGCCCUUGCACGGCUACCUCGGGGGCCUCCCGGGCCUCCACGCCUACGAGAGCCUCGCCGUCGUCGACGGGCCCGAGCCGGGCGCCGUCCAGGCUUUUGCCGACCUCAUGUUUCCCGCCGCCGACAACGCCGCCUUCUGCGAGAUCGUGCACGGCGCGGCGGCGCGGAUGGCGGAGCUGGAGUGGGCGGUGCGGCGGAUGGUCAGGGAGGGGCUCGGGGUGGCAGUCGACGAGGCCGAGGCCCAGAGCGCGCUCUGGCACCUUUUCCGGAUGUCGGAGUACGGGGCGCCCACCGCCGACGAGAGGGCGACGGAGGUGCGGUUCCGGUCUCACCAGGACACCAACUGGCUGAGCGUCGUGUGCCAGCACGAGGUCGAGGGGCUGGAGAUGCAGGCCAGGGACGGCCGGUGGGUCCUCGUCCGGCCGUCGCCGGCGUCGCUCGUCGUCAUGGCCGGCAACGCUCUCCGGGCGUGGUCCAACGACCGUGUGCACGCGCCGUUCCACCGGAUAAGCGUGGGCGGGGACGCGACGAGGUACUCGGCCAUCCUCUUCUCCGUCCCCGGCGGGCCGACGAUCCGGGCGCCCGACGAGCUCGUGGACGAGGCCGGCGGCCACCCUCGCCGCUUCAGGGACUACGACUACGACGAGUUCGUUCGCUUCUGCGUCUCCGAGGAGGGUGCUCGCCAUGAGGACAAGCUCAAGGCCUACUGCGGAGUGUAGGUGCAUGCAGGAGAGUAGGAGUGGGGGGACGGCCUGGGCAGCUACACCAUCGAGUCUGGCCCAAGUCCACCGCGGAAAUAAAAAUCUUGAUCUGCAAUUCGUGUUUUGGGAUGAGUUCUCCAUGUAAUUGAGUCUGGUGGUGUGGCUGUGUUCUUGGUACGAGGUUGCUGGAAUUGGACACUGGAAAUGUUGUCCGUGCACAACUUGAAUGUUCAUACCCAGUGCAGUUCAGUGUUGUAUAGCCCACCCAAAACUUGCCGCCAUGGCGAAUUCAGACUACGCUCAACCAGAGAAAGCAAAACAAGAGGCGCUGCCGCGUCGGUCAGUCGGCAAACAGACUCUUGAUCUGAUACGUACGUAGGGCGCAGAAGCAACGCAAUGAACACUCGCAACAUCCAUCAUCAGUCUCUGCUCAUGAAACAACACUAGAUACAACAUUAAGUCAUUCUCCGUCCGGCAGCUUCCUUGUGUUGUAAACCCAGGUAAGCUAAAUAACCAGCCAUUGCGAUGCAAGACCGACAGACUGCAGCUGGGAGAUUAAAACUAGUAGAAACGAAAUAACAAUAUGGCAUCUAGCUUCCUCGGAAACUGCAACUCAUUUGUUCAAUCUUCCAGAAUGAAAACAGUACGUACAACUGAAGUCCGAAGUCACCUGUAUGCACUUCCAGAAGGCAGUACCCAAAUAACAUCAAUGAUAUAUGCACAUAACAUAUUCAGUAAGAGCAAUAAUUGUUCGAUGUGUGUAUAGUCUAAUGCAGAGGCCGGAUGUUAACCCUCCUUUUUGAAGAAAAAAAAACAAGUUAAAGCAACAAUUCCCUCUCAAGAGGCAGCUAAGAAACCAAUGGCUAUGUAACAAAUAAUGCCACCCAAAAUAUAAUUUCACCUAUCCAAUCAUCCAGAAUCCCAGAUCGACCCCCAAAGGCAUACGCAACUUUGUAUUCAUACGAUAAGGAAAACAGUACAUGCGCAUAGGACUACAACCAUACGAGAAGGAUAGGAACAGUGCGACUGCUUCCGCCGAACUACCAAGAAGAUCAUUGAAAAAUACAAAACUACACCGUCUCAAAAUGUUUACCAGUUUGAUCAUUCACUACUUGCACUUGCACGGAUCAGAACCAAAGCAGAGCUGCUGCGCUCCACAAAGACCCAGGUUGCAAAAGCAAUUCAGAGUAACACUUGUCCAUCCAUCAGGCAUUUCUCAAUGUCUAUGAGACAGCAAGAUCUAAUAAGUCAUUGUCUCGCAUUGUUAAAACGCAGAUAAAUCCCCAGCCACCCAGCAGCCAUUUUUGGUGCUAGGCUGACAGACUGCAACUAGGAAACAAAGUGAAGCAUCCGUCGUUAAUCACUGUUCAAGAAACAAACACGAGAUCUCAAGCAGUCCAGCCCUUGUCCGACAGACCGCCCAACUGGAACAACAAGCUUAACGACCCUGAGAAAAAAAGAGCAACGGAAGCAUAUACACAAACCAUAUCAUUGGCAUCUAUGCUCGACAUGUUCAUCAACAAUUCAUAUGACUCAUUUCUCCGAUUGUUCAGGAAAGCAAUACAACCGAAAUCUGAAGUCGACUGCACUUCCAAUAAAGACAGUACCCAAUUAACAACCUCAAUGAUGUACUGAAAUAUAACAGAUUUAGGUACAUCGCUACACCGAUAAUGCAGUUACAUCAAGGUUAAAGUUCUAGACAGGGCAGACCAAUAGAGACUACAAACAAACAAUAUGGACAUGCUCCUAAAAAUCUGCGGGUAACGCGUCUAGUUACGGCUCUACUUCAGUAGUAAUCUACACUCGAAAGGCAACUAGGAAACAAGAGCACUGCUUCACGUACCAGCACAUUAUGUAUGAUUUUGAUAUGACAUAGCAUAGCCACCGUUGAUUAGCACAGAUUCAUGGUUCAUUGCGUCGUCGUACAAAAUUGGACAAGAUUUCAUCGUAUGUGUGGCAAUUCUGAGGAAACAAAGUCACACAUCCAUCAUUGCUCAAGAUCUCAAGCAGUCAAGUAAUUGCCCGCCAGCUCCCUUAAAAACCUAGACAGUGCAGUGCUAAACUGACAGACUGCACUUAGGAACUGGAAUAUCAAGCUUAAAGAUGAGCAGGAAAUAGAGCAACAGAAACUAUAGGCAAAUAAUAUCACUGGCAUUUAUGCUUGACAUGCUCCUCAAAAAUCAUAUACUCCUAACUCAUUUCUCCAACUGUCUAGAAAAACAAUACAACUGAAGUCUGAAGUAGCCUGAAAUUCCUUCCAGAAGACAGUAACAAAAUCACACCAAUGAUGUACUCAGGUUUAGUUACAUCGCUACGCUGAUAAUUUCCUCUCAAAACACACCUAAGGAACAAGUUCAUGUAACUGUAACCGUAUA